rnacentral:rRNA from 1 species
AGAGUUUGAUCCUGGCUCAGGACGAACGCUGGCGGCGUGCCUAAUACAUGCAAGUCGAGCGAAUCAUUAGGAGCUUGCUCCUUUUGGUUAGCGGCGGACGGGUGAGUAACACGUGGGCAACCUGCCUGUAAGACUGGGAUAACACCGGGAAACCGGUGCUAAUACCGGAUAAUCCUUUUCCUCACAUGAGGGAAAGCUAAAAGACGGUUUCGGCUGUCACUUACAGAUGGGCCCGCGGCGCAUUAGCUAGUUGGUGAGGUAACGGCUCACCAAGGCGACGAUGCGUAGCCGACCUGAGAGGGUGAUCGGCCACACUGGGACUGAGACACGGCCCAGACUCCUACGGGAGGCAGCAGUAGGGAAUCUUCCGCAAUGGACGAAAGUCUGACGGAGCAACGCCGCGUGAGCGAUGAAGGCCUUCGGGUCGUAAAGCUCUGUUGUUAGGGAAGAACAAGUAUCGGAGUAACUGCCGGUACCUUGACGGUACCUAACCAGAAAGCCACGGCUAACUACGUGCCAGCAGCCGCGGUAAUACGUAGGUGGCAAGCGUUGUCCGGAAUUAUUGGGCGUAAAGCGCGCGCAGGCGGUCCUUUAAGUCUGAUGUGAAAGCCCACGGCUCAACCGUGGAGGGUCAUUGGAAACUGGGGGACUUGAGUGCAGAAGAGGAAAGUGGAAUUCCACGUGUAGCGGUGAAAUGCGUAGAGAUGUGGAGGAACACCAGUGGCGAAGGCGACUUUCUGGUCUGUAACUGACGCUGAGGCGCCAAAAGCGUGGGGAGCAAACAGGAUUAGAUACCCCUGGUAGUCCACGCCGUAAACCGAUGAGUUGCUAAGUGUUAAAAGGUUUCCGCCCUUUAGUGCUGCAGCUAACGCAUUAAGCACCUCCGCCCUGGGGAGUACGGCCGCAAGGCUGAAACUCAAAGGAAUGACGG